AGUGAACGCUGGCGGUAGGCCUAACACAUGCAAGUCGAACGGCAGCACAGUAAGAGCUUGCUCUUACGGGUGGCGAGUGGCGGACGGGUGAGGAAUACAUCGGAAUCUACUUUUUCGUGGGGGAUAACGUAGGGAAACUUACGCUAAUACCGCAUACGACCUACCGGUGAAAGCAGGGGAUCUUCGCACCUUGCGCGAUUGAAUGAGCCGAUGUCGGAUUAGCUAGUUGGCGGGGUAAAGUCCCACCAAGGCGACGAUCCGUAGCUGGUCUGAGAGGAUGAUCAGCCACACUGGAACUGAGACACGGUCCAGACUCCUACGGGAGGCAGCAGUGGGGAAUAUUGGACAAUGGGCGCAAGCCUGAUCCAGCCAUACCGCGUGGGUGAAGAAGGCCUUCGGGUUGUAAAGCCCUUUUGUUGGGAAAGAAAAGCAGCAGGUUAAUACCCCGCUGUUCUGACGGUACCCAAAGAAUAAGCACCGGCUAACUUCGUG
rnacentral:rRNA from 1 species